UUUUUUCCCUGGUCUUUUUACUGGCAUGAGAAAAAAUUGAGAAUUUAAUUGCACGAGACUACUUGGAAACAGUGAGGCUGAAAGCUUGCAAGGCAGAGGGACGAGAAGGGAAGGCUCUGGCAGCAGAGCAUGGAUAGGAACGGAGCGGAGCUUCUGCGGUGCUCCGUGUGCACAUGUUUCAUGAGAUCAGUGCCGGGCGCUGCAGCUGCGGACACUCACUGAGCUGUCUGGCUAAUGAAGGCCACCUGGAUCAGGCUUCUGAAAAGAGCCAAAGGAGGACGUCUGAAGAAUUCUGAUAUCUGUGGUUCGGCGGACUCCUACACCAGCCGUCCAUCCGAUUCAGAUGUAUCUCUGGAAGAAGACAGGGAAGCAGUGCGGAGAGAGGCAGAGCGACAGGCCCAGGCACAGCUGGAAAAAGCGAAG